rnacentral:lncRNA from 1 species
UUCUAAUCUUCUCCGGAUUGUUUCAUCCUACCACUCCCAAUUAAUCUUUCCUAUUUUCGUCUGCGUUUAGCAAAUGCGUUAAGAUUAACUAGGCUUUAAAUGACGCAACUCUCCCUGCGUCAUGGAGUUCAAGGUCUUUUAAUCACCUUCGAUUUAACCUCAUUUUAAAUGAUCGCCUUCAAAUUAUUUAAAAGCAUUGCCCUUCUACUGGUAUUAAUUCAGGGCUCUGGAGUCCCUUCUCUCAAUUUUCUUUUAAAUACACUUUUUAUUUCUUCAAGAAACUUCAUCUCAACCUCCGUCAUUCAAAGAGCAAAAACUUAUCUGCGGGUUCCUCAAGCUGCGCCUGCCACCUCAGCAGAAACCCCUGCGCUGGCUGCCUCAAUGCCUGCCGCAAAGCCCGGGCGAGGACUAUUUAUUGUCGGAGGACAGCUCGCAUCACCGGAAUUCGAUCACCUUCCGCCGCCUUUGUGGGGGAGGCAAAAAAUAGUUCUUCGGUUAAAAAUAGGUUUUAGUUUUACAAGACUUUUCUAGAUUUUUUCUUAACAGCUUAUGGAACUUGAGUGCAAACUGCACAUUCAGAAAUAUUUAAAUUACUAGCAUGUGGAAAGAUUUGAGCUGAAAACUUUAGACAAAAGAAACGUGGAAAUCACAUUUUAAACGGGUCAUCAAACACCUCACAAAAUCCCCGGAACUUUUUAAAUACUUCUUAAAGCGCUUUUUUGUGUUCUCUUGAGGGACAGUAGGAAUAGUUUACUACCCUUUGAAGGAAGGUUAAGGUGUGAUAGCUCAGGGCUUUACUUUCCAUUACGCAACUGAGCCCCAGCCUUGGAGGGAAGGUUGACAGGUGGCAAAAUGGCGGACUUUCUCCUCCAACUGCCUGCAGUCCUGCGACUUGCUCCAGCCAGCCACACGUUUUGCUUGCCCUUUUAUUCGAGAAAUCCGAGCAGCACGGGCUAUCUUCUUGGGAAGUCUUAAAAACGUGAAAACCCACUUUUGGAAAACCCCUCAAUCCCACACCACAGAGCUGCUCCCCGCCUGAGCCCCGGGAUCCGUUGGCUGCCAGUGGCCCACUCUGAUCUGCGGCCCCGAGGUGUCGCCAGCCCCCCACGGCCCGCACGGAAAUUUUUCUACCGUUUUUCAGCUUCCAGGUUCUCCUGAAAGUGCUCACAAGGCAAAUCGCCAUAGAAAGCAAGUUCAAGUGGCCUUUUAAAGUUGCUCAACUAAGCGAAUGGCUUUGUCUCCGAAGACACAGGGACCUUGGGCAGCCAGUCAGGGACACACCCUGGAGUGUUUACACUGCUCUAGCUCUGCUUUUCCAGGGGUCUUUGUUUUGCAGAUUGUGUUAUGCCUGCUUAGGUCCGAGCUUCAGACUUCCUGAACCGGACUAGGAAAAAAAAUAAACCUUUCCUCCAAGGUAUCUAAAUACCA